rnacentral:rRNA from 6 species
AACCCUUAUCCUUUGUUGCCAGCGGUCCGGCCGGGAACUCAAAGGAGACUGCCAGUGAUAAACUGGAGGAAGGUGGGGAUGACGUCAAGUCAUCAUGGCCCUUACGACCAGGGCUACACACGUGCUACAAUGGCGCAUACAAAGAGAAGCGACCUCGCGAGAGCAAGCGGACCUCAUAAAGUGCGUCGUAGUCCGGAUUGGAGUCUGCAACUCGACUCCAUGAAGUCGGAAUCGCUAGUAAUCGUGGAUCAGAAUGCCACGGUGAAUACGUUCCCGGGCCUUGUACACACCGCCCGUCACACCAUGGGAGUGGGUUGCAAAAGAAGUAGGUAGCUUAACCUUCGGGAGGGCGCUUACCACUUUGUGAUUCAUGACUGGGGUGAAGUCGUAACAAGGUAACCGUAGGGGAACCUGC